rnacentral:rRNA from 1 species
CAGUAGCCGCGGGAAUACGUAGGUGGCAAGCGUUGUCCGGAAUUAUUGGGCGUAAAGGGCUCGCAGGCGGUUUCUUAAGUCUGAUGUGAAAGCCCCCGGCUCAACCGGGGAGGGUCAUUGGAAACUGGGAAACUUGAGUGCAGAAGAGGAGAGUGGAAUUCCACGUGUAGCGGUGAAAUGCGUAGAGAUGUGGAGGAACACCAGUGGCGAAAGCGAGUGCCUGGACCCUUUCUGACGCUGAGACGCGAAAGCCAGGGGAGCGAACGGGAUUAGAUACCCGCGUAGUCCCUGUCUCUUAUAC